rnacentral:tRNA from 1 species
UCCUCAGUAGCUCAGUUGGUUAGAGCAUCUGACUGUUAAUCAGAGGGUCGCUGGUUCGAGUCCAGCCUGGGGAGCAA